AUCAUUUUUCGUAUAACUCCAAGCAAUAAAAUCUGGCAUAUCAUGUUGCGAGAUUGGAAUUUAUUUGAUAUGUGAACCAUGUGUCCACAACGAUAUGAAAUUUAUUUUUUAUGAUGGAGGGUCCAUCACAAUGGCUUGCCAUUGGGACCCUUAUGUGUCGCAUGGGCGUUGCACUACUGCCCAGGCUAGACGCACCCCAA
rfam:Triticum aestivum genome assembly, contig: Triticum_aestivum_CS42_TGACv1_scaffold_485407_6AS